rnacentral:rRNA from 1 species
ACUCCUACGGGAGGCAGCAGUGGGGAAUAUUGCACAAUGGGCGCAAGCCUGAUGCAGCCAUGCCGCGUGUAUGAAGAAGGCCUUCGGGUUGUAAAGUACUUUCAGCAGUGAGGAAGGUGGAUAUGUUAAUAGCAUAUUCAUUUGACGUUAGCUGCAGAAGAAGCACCGGCUAACUCCGUGCCAGCAGCCGCGGUAAUACGGAGGGUGCGAGCGUUAAUCGGAAUUACUGGGCGUAAAGCGCAUGCAGGUGGUUUGUUAAGUCAGAUGUGAAAGCCCGGGGCUCAACCUCGGAAUUGCAUUUGAAACUGGCAAACUAGAGUACUGUAGAGGGGGGUAGAAUUUCAGGUGUAGCGGUGAAAUGCGUAGAGAUCUGAAGGAUACCGGUGGCGAAGGCGGCCCCUGGACAGAUACUGACACUCAGAUGCGAAAGCGUGGGGAGCAAACAGGAUUAGAUACCCUGGUAGCUACGAG